rnacentral:tRNA from 1 species
GAGUUAAACUCCUCCUUAAUG